rnacentral:rRNA from 1 species
CAUGGAGGGUGAGAAUCCCGUCUUUGGCUGUGAUGGUUAUCUUACGAUACGCUUUCAAUGAGUCGAGUUGUUUGGGAUUGCAGCUCUAAAUGGGUGGUAAAUAUCACCUAAGGCUAAAUAUAUGCGAGAGACCGAUAGCGAACAAGUACCGUGAGGGAAAGAUGAAAAGAACUUUGAAAAGAGAGUUAAGAGUACGUGAAAUUGUUGAAAGGGAAACGAUUGAAGUCAGUCAUGUUAACAGGGAAUCAAUCAGACCUACCGGUACGAUGUAAUUCCUCGUGAACAGGUCAACAUCAAUUCUUGUCGUCAUAAAAAGUCUGGGGGAACGUGACUUCUUUUCGAAGUGUUAUAGCCCUUUGUCAACGUGACGGCGGGGAUUGGGGACUGCAACGGAUACCCUCGGGGGCUGAUCGCCUGUCCUCUGUUCGAAUGUAGCGUUAUCGACAGCUUGCUGACGAUGAUGUUGCGGUCUUCAAAAGGUCAGAGCGAUUCAAAUUCGUUAAGGAUGUUGACGUAAUGG